rnacentral:rRNA from 1 species
CAGGAGACGAGACGGUCUGGUCGGCGAGGGUAAGCGGGAAGGAGGUAGGAGAGCGGCAGCGGCGACACUGUCUAGGUGUUCCGGCUCAGGAAGGGGCGGGCGGCGGCACUGUGGACUGAGGCAGGAGGAGCUCGGAGAGCUCGUCUCGACGUCCACCUUCGCAGAGAGUCGACGCCGCCAUGCCACCACGGCUCGAGGUUGGUGUCGAGAAGCAGGGUUGUGUCGAGGUCCUCCUCCGCCGCCGCCAGUAGGCCGACGAUGGGGGUGGGGCAGUCGUUAGAAGUGGAGGGAGGUGAGCGAAGCAGUCUAGGUAGACGGACCCGGACGACGAUGAACUCAUUAGUUAGUAUAAGUCUAUGUUCCACGUUGUAUCCUUGUUCUUUCAGCCGGCCGGUACCACAAACGGUGCCCCCGCAACCCGUGGGAUGAGGGGUUCAACCCGUUCGACGAGUACCUCCUCAUGUUAGACGUCUUCGCAAACUUCUUCCCCUAGUUCCUGGACUCCCUACUCGAGGACCAGUAUGUUCGACGUGAACACUUCCACAGGCUACACGGUGAUCUGGUCGAACUAGGCGACCAGUUUUAAACCCGUUUGCUACAGUCCCUCGACAGGAAACGGUAGCUCCUGUCGGAGCUGAGGAAGUACCACGCACAGCUCCCACAACUCGGCUGGUUCGGUGUGUGGAAGAAACCCUAGUAGUUCUUCUGGACAUUCUUCCAGCGGUUCGAGUUCUAAGCAGCGCUUUAUCGGUUACUGUAGUUUCUGCAGUUCUAGGUUCAAUUUCUCCACUUCCUCGCCAAGCUGUCUAUGUUUCUACAAUAACCAUUAUGAUUACGGGCUUGCCUUCAACUAGGUGCAGAGAACCGGUACAUGUUGUUUCAUAGACUGGAAUAACCGUAACUUUUUAGUUACCUACUCGAUUGUGCCUCCAAUAGACUCCCGCUACUAGGUAGGCCACUUGUCGAGUUCCAACAGAGACAACAACCUAAACCUCCUAACCCGUUCUGUUGAGAACGAUUUCGACACAUACUGUUCGAAUUGUUCUUAAAACUAACACCCCAAAAACAAGGUCACCCAGUUUUAGGUCUGUGUUUCUUUCAAGAGUCCCUAUAGGAGGAACUUGAACUGUCCGUCAACAUGUCUCUACGUAGUUGUUACCUACUUUCCGUCGACUAGUUAGUCGACGUCUGUAAGGAUCAUCCUUUCUCCAUGAAAUAACAAUAACUACUGUAUACCCUAUGUGGUUGUACCCUCUACUAGUUAACACGAAAGUACCUAUCAGUAGGUCUUUCAUCUUAUUAGUAUUGUUGAGCACUAAAACUACAACGGUGUUUUCGACCACCAUAGAUGGCGUACCUUGGUGAAAGAUUACUAUUGAGGUUUUACAAUAAGAUAUGCUCUUGUAAACCACCUCUUCCUCGUUCAAGUCUAUUGGUCGGACGACUCCACUGAUUGUUUUAAAAUUUCUUUACACCACCACACGGAAAUCGCUAGUAAUGUUAUCGAUCGAACGAACAACCAUUUGCUACACUCCUAACCAGAUUCCACAUACUACGGUAACCAAAACCCGUACUUCUGUUGUUUCAACAAGUAUUGUGUUCUUUCUAUAACAGAAAAUCGAUAAUACUAGAUGGAAGGGUAAACUUCUGGACAAAUAAUAUAGAUUCAUACAAAGGACUUCUAUCGAACUAACCCUUUUCCUGUGACUAAACCUCCACCCAGACACUUCCAAAACAGGAUCUAGCUCUUCCAUAUCCCAGUAAACUCGAGCCCCUCUAGAUAAAGUUACUCGAUCAAUUGUUUUCGUACUAGGCCACCUAACUACUUCCGGUUCCACCAACAGCAUAGGUACUAUACCACGAGCUAGAGUAGGCGUGGUAUAGUUUACUAUAUUUGAAACAAUGUCAUGUACUAUACCUCGUCGUACCGUGUUCAAACGCUCCUGUUGUUUGUUUAUCCCAAGCGUCUAAUCGUGAAGUGCCUUCUUCACACCUUGUGUUGAGAUCGUAACGGUACCUUGUGGACUCCAGCAAGUUACAACAACCCACGUCACGGUUGUCAUACGUGGACGAAAGCUCGAAAUUUCAUGACGCACACGAUCAAUAACUCCUGACACAAAAAAGCCUUCCAUCAUCAGAACUCGUAGAGCCAUUCAACAACGUCGACUCCAUGGACCCCGAUCACUUCUGUCGCCAGUUCUAGGGCCUUCCUUAUCCCGUACUAGACUUCAAAGAACUCUAUGACCUACAUUCCCCUCCAAACUAUUCACUCGACGGUGGUAGACAACCACUCGAUAACUUAAACUCCACGAACGCGCGAUUACUCCCAUGUCACUACUUCCCGUUCUAUCCCUUUGACUGUACGGAACUUCUCGACGUCGAUAUAAGCCACCUCUUCACGGGUUUGAAGAAGUGUCUCCACGCCUUCGACUGCUUCAAUUCCCACGAGUUGUAUAUAAAGCGACUUUAUGUCCUCAGACGUCCGUUCCGAGACUACCUUAGGGAUACGUUGGACGUGUUAUAGGUAUCAGACUGCCAGAAGCUACUAGCACCAGGACUUAUACGCCAACAGGAGUUAGUAUCAAACCUUCUGAACCGUGGUACAUGUUUCGACAUGCUCAAUUUAGAUGAUCCGUAUCAAUAUGGCUCCCACGGUAGUACCUAGUUAGUCAAUUCACAAGGUGAGGAAAGAGCAGAUAACGACGUACACCUACGCCAUCUUCAAGCCCUACAAGUUUGGUAGCCGUCCAACGGCAGCGAGGAGCUUGAACCAGAGACCUCAUUCCUACUUUCCUUGCAUAGUAUAUGAAAACCGUCGUUACUCAAAGUGUUCGACUCUUAGAACACCUGCUUCUUCUAUCUCUAGCGACAACCUCUUCCUCGUAACGGCUACGAACUUACCGACUCUAUGUGACGUUCGCGACUUUCUUUCCUGCGACGGUCGAACCACGGCACCUCCUCUUUAUCGACAGGAAACGACUUCAAACAGCCCACAAAGGAACUGACGUGAUUGUCGUCGAUGUCCCUUCAUUUCCUUCGCUUCGUUCGCGACACCCGGCAGGGUUACGACACAUAGCGCUAGAGAUGUAUCUUUUUCUUUUGAUGCUGUUCCUCCGUACAUUUAAGUAACUAUUAGAGCUCACCUAGGAUGCACCAAACCUGUCUGGGCUCCUACACCCGGCAGGACGUCGUAUGGUCCUCCUUUCCUGUGCAGCGUACUAAUCUAGUGAGCUCUCUUCCAAUGCACUGCGGCUCCUCAGAGCCCAGCCCUCCAUGCCGGUUGUUCUCUAUGCACUGGAACAACGGUUUAAGUUCUCAACCGAUGUACUGGUACGUCCGUGGCUGGUCCUACUCCGCGCGUUUUCACUACGGUGGCUAUCACUCCUGCUACUUCUAAUAAUAAUGCGGAUGCUGCUGCUACGAUGGCUGGUUCGUCUCCAUGCACGGAUCUUUGAUGAUGUAGUAUAAAUAAGUGUGCGAUAUAUCUCUAGGUGUAUAAUACAAUGUGCGAUAUAUAUAGAGGUCCGUCUGCUACCACUUCGGUGAACGUCGGUUGGAAUUUAGAGAAGG